rnacentral:rRNA from 1 species
UACGAGUGCUUCAAGCGUUAUCCGGAAUCAUUGGGCGUAAAGGGUGUGUAGGCGGUUAUGUUAGUCUUCCGUUAAAUUCUUCGGCUCAACCGGGGGCAUGCGGGGGAAACGGCAUAACUUGAGGAUGGAAGGGGUCUCUGGAACUCAUGGUGUAGCGGUGAAAUGCGUUGAUAUCAUGGGGAACACCGAAAGCGAAGGCAAGAGACUGGUCCACUCCUGACGCUGAAACACGAAAGCGUGGGUCGCGAAUGGG